AGCCUCAGCCUUCAGAAUAUCUCCAGCUAAAGCCAACUCAUCUCCAUCCUCAACUCCAUGCUCCACAAAGAUACCUAGAAGUGUAAUUCAUGUUUCUGGUCCACAUCUACAUGCCUUCAAAACUCCCAUUUCUACACCAAGUUCUCAUCUAGAAAGCAAAAGACUGAUGAAUCAAUGAAGACCUUUCAAUAUGGGUACUUCACCUUUUGUUAGUAGGUUUGACCUAUUGGUGGAACUCAUCAGCCUCAAGGCCUGGCCAUGGUACCUCUCCCUCUCCUGUGGGGUUUCCUUUGGAUGUUGUAGGCUCCUGCUGUGAAACUUGAAUAGUUGGUGGAAGUUGGUUUUGCACUAAAUGUUGGAAAACGAAAGAUCGAUAGAAAGGGAAGUUAAAAAAAAAAAAAGGAAAGCUUAUUGAUGGAGGCAUGCUUUAAGGUGCUAGCUUUCUAGAAGGAUUUGUCCCUACAAGAACUCACCAGCUUUAUGCUUGUUGAUUGUGCUUCCUAUCGACUUACACAAAACUGUUGCAAUUUUAUUUGAUUUUUAUUGUGGUUAAUGAUUCAAUACUUUUGUCAUUGACUAGCUUCUUAACAACAAUAUAGUUGCUUAGGAAGGUUUAGGUAACUGAGCCCUUUUCUCCCUCAACCCCUGAAAUGCCAAAAUCUCACCCCAGAAACAAAAUUAAAAGCAGCCCGAUCCCCCUACCAUUGAUAAUAUUUGCGAUAGGCAAACAAUAAGCUUCUCCUUUUUCUCUGAGAACUUUACCUUCAUUAAGGUAAUGAAGAGGAAAUAAAGAGAGAGUUAUUAUAGAGAUACAUAGAAGGGAAAACAAAAGGCUGCUCCUAUCUUUUAUUCUCUUUCAGGUAGCUAAUAUGAUUCAGGCUUAUGUCAGAUCUAGGAAAUCCAAGCUCUACUCAUGUUGUCUUGGCCAUGGACAACCUAGUUGACAAACCUUGGAACCUGAGUACAGAAGUAAGGGCCACCAAUGUAUGUAUAAACUUUUAAAAUGCUUAUGGCAGCUAGGAAUCACAUUCUGUGCUAAAGAUGCUAGAAUCAACACAGCUAUAAAAGGCUCGUAAUGCAUGAAAAGCUGACAGAUCAUGACUGGAUUUGAGAUCAAACGCAUGCCUUUCUAAGAUCCUGGCAAAAGAUCUAGGUCAGAGCACCAUUGAUUUAACUGAGAGACAAAAAUUGAGCAAAACUAGGUCAUUGUCCAGUUUUUGUUGAUAGUUGGAAAUCUUCGAGAAACAUGAAACAAUGGUACGUCGAUUUCACACUAUUGAUUGAGGUCCUAAGAAGAUGUUGAUGCAAAACUUGUACUAAUGUCAGCCAAGUGCUGCUCCACAUGCUGACUAAAUUGCUUUCCCUUCUAGAGGAGCCAA
rnacentral:lncRNA from 1 species